rnacentral:rRNA from 1 species
AUGGACAUUGAGCUGCCUUGCUUCCGAGGCACCACCUCAAUGAGCUGGACGCCGCGUUCAUGCGCAUCAAGCCAAAGCCCAUGGCCGAAUUCACCGCGCUCGAGAGGCUGUCCCUCAAGGGAAAAAUCGACAACCUUGGCGCCGUGCUUGACCGCUGCCCAUGCCUAUGCGUGCUCGCAGUCACCUUCCGCCUUGUGGAUUCUGCCUUGGUCGAAUCAGCACUCGCCUGGAUCCAGGAGCUUGAUGUCCGGGCAUUCAUAG